rnacentral:lncRNA from 1 species
CAUCUCAAAAAAAAAAAAAAAAAAAACUGUGAGGGAACGGGAUACCUACAAUGAAAUCUCCAUCUUGGGAAAAGGAACAAUGGGAAUUACUUACAAAUUACUGGCCUAUAACACACACAUUAAACAGCAAAGACUUAGCCCUGGCAGUGGAGUAAAUUCCUUUAUUAGACAAUCUGCCCAUCCCUGUCUUUUCUAGGAGGAUCCCUAGAAUCUGGGAGGAUUAGGGAGAUAAAUAUGCUAAUUAUGCAGAUGGCCACACCUGAAGUAAGCUUGGAGAAGAUGCUCUUCUGAGGAAGAAGAAGGUAUCAAGAUUAUCUGCUGAAAGUGAAGGGGACAGAGGUGAUAAAGAGAACUUGUAAAUGGUGACUGUUGACUGGCUUCUCUGGGAAUUAAACAUGGAAGUAAGCGGAGUGAUAAAGAAAAUUAUUGUGUAGCUGUGCAGACCUUACUAAAAUGAAUGAAAAUGUAUCUACUGUGUAUUAGUUUGCACAGUUGUGUGAUUUUUUUCAGCAUCAGGAAAUAGUGUGUGUCAAACUAAGAUAAAGAAGGCAGAUAAUUAUAGUGAUGCAAGAUGGCAUUUAUAGGGUCACACUUGAGUUUCUAACCUGAGGUUCAUGAUUCAUAGUUUAUAUAACACCUGAG